rnacentral:rRNA from 1 species
CCUACGGGUGGCAGCAGUGAGGAAUAUUGGUCAAUGGACGAAAGUCUGAACCAGCCAAGUAGCGUGAAGGAUGACUGCCCUAUGGGUUGUAAACUGCUUUUGUACGAGAGUAAAACGAGACACGUGUACCUUUUUGCAUGUACUGUACGAAUAAGGAUCGGCUAACUCCGUGCCAGCAGCCGCGGUAAUACGGAGGAUCCAAGCGUUAUCCGGAUUUAUUGGGUUUAAAGGGAGCGUAGACGGGUUGUUAAGUCAGAUGUGAAAGUUUGCGGCUCAACCGUAAAAUUGCAAUUGAUACUGGUCGUCUUGAGUACAGUUGAGGUAGGCGGAAUGCGUGGUGUAGCGGUGAAAUGCUUAGAUAUCACGCAGAACACCGAUUGCGAAGGCAGCUUACUAAACUGCGACUGACAUUGAUGCACGAAAGUGUGGGUAGCAAACAGGAUUAGAUACCCGGGUAGUC